ensembl:lncRNA AABR07062350.1
GCGCGAUCGGCCAAUGAGAGCGCGCGAUGCCUAUUCUCCAUGCAAAUCUCCUGGUUUUUUAUUUGAAUGAGGGAUUUUGGCCACGCCUCCUGCCUUGAAAAAUGAGGCCCGUCUGCCGUGGUGGCGCUGCGGUCUUUUCAAUCGCGUCCGGAGGUGAAUUUUUUUCCGGUUGCCUCUUUUUUAAUCCUCGAGGUGUUUUUUUGUUUUGUUUUGUUUUUGCAUGGAGAUUCCUCAGUAGCCACCCCUCCAUGAAACUUGAGAAAAGAAGUAGGUGAGUGCUUAAAAAGCGAAAAGACUUUUCCAUAAAGUCUAGAAGCCUAGAGUACGGAAAAUUAUUAACAUUAAUUUUUGUUAAUUUUUAUCUUUUUGUUUUGUAAUGUUGAGGAAGAUUCAUGCAAUUUAGUUCAGUCUAGCAUUGAACUUGCCACGUAGCCCACACAGGUCUGGAAUUUGAAAUCAGUCGGCCUCAACCUCUCAAGUGUUGCUUACAGACAGAUCAGAGAACAAAUGUAAAAUCUCAUCAUCACGACUCAGGACCCACUUCCUGAACCACUGAAAGGUUUAAAUAAAGUUAACCAUAGGUCAAAAGGUGGAGCAAGAAACCAGUUGAUGGAGUGAACGUAGGAAAAAAAGUAAAGAGGAGUCAGGACGAUGAAGAGAGAGAUGCACAGGAAAUGAAAGGGAAGGACGUGCAGUUUGAGGGAUUUUUGAGACAGAGAACUGCCUUUCGGGAUGUUGGCUGAGGAAGAAGGUCAGGUAGGUGUUUUCUCUCAGCUAGCAGGUUUUCACCCCAGCAUCUGGCUCUCAAGUCUCCAUUGGUAAAUCGAAUGAUUGAGACUUUGUUAACAGCAACACCCCAUAAAAUUUAUGUUCUCUACUAGCACAUUAUUGUGACUUAAUUAUCAGCACCAUUCAACAUCUGCCCUGCUGCUCUGUCAUACUUGCUGUUAUAGUUUGGGU